GGAAGCAGCAAGCGUGCCUGGGCAGAGACCCCCAGAGUGUAAAGAGGUCCUGGGACAGGCUUUGCACGUUCCACAAGAGGAUUAAAGGAAAUAAUGUGUGUCCCAUGCUCAGCCCUGCACCUGCCACAGUAAGCACCUGGUGAGUGGGAGUAUCUGAUCUUGUUAUUGAGGAUGCAGAGGCCGACUCCCCUGUUCUCUGCUUCCUUCGCCCUCCCCUUGCCAACCUGCUUCAACACAGGAUCCUGCAGGACCUCCUCCUUUGCCAUAUGCUCCUUCAGCAGUUCUGUCUGCACAAUCCCCGGCCACAGAGACACACAGCUGACCCCAUGGCGCCGCAGCUCGUGGGCACAGUCAGCAGCCAGCUUGUCACACUGUGGAGAGGCGGAAGGCAGGGUAAGAGCCACCUAGCCAUGUCACUUUCCUGCCCUGCCCUCUCUGCUUCUACUGUGAAUGCUCCACCCACCCUGUCCUUCCCAGGAGCCCCAAGGUCUCAGCUGCCCACGCUCCCCAGUGUGAUGCCUACUCUAGCCAACCAAGAGGAGCACAAGCAAAGGAACUGUCCAUGGAUGAGGCAGAGGAGGAGCUGAGAGGAGCCAGCCUUACCAUUCUGACCACUGGGGAUUGUACCUCCUGAGCUAUAGUGUCUCGCUGUGUCGUCUAGACUGGAGUGCAGUGGUGUGA
rnacentral:lncRNA from 1 species